AAAAUAUAAACUUUGAUGAUUUUAAAAAAAAUUAAUUUAAAGACCACGUGACAAAACUAAAAAUAUAUUUGGACUCUACGAAUUUUUUUGAAUUUUCUAGAAUUUUUUUGAAAUUUUUGGGCCUCGUUUUCGGUCCCAAGGCAAAGUAAAAAAAUUUAAAAUUUUAUAUCUUGAAUUGGACCGGCCAUAUCGAACCGGAUCAGAUAAGACCGGUCGAAUCGAACCGGCCAGUUCUUUUUCUUCUUCCUCCGCGCGAGUCCCCAACCCUUCUUCCUCUCUCUCCCGUU
rnacentral:misc_RNA from 1 species